rnacentral:rRNA from 1 species
UGGCGGCGUGGAUUAGGCAUGCAAGUCGAACGAGAUCCUGAGCAUCCAAGUAGCAAUAUGAGGAUGUUCAGGUGACAGUGGCGAAAGGGUGAGUAACGCGCGGGUAAUCUGCCCUUAAGUUGGGGAUAGCUCUGCGAAAGCGGAAUUAAUACCGAAUGUUGUCGUGGCGCACAUGCGCCAUUAUCUAAAGCCGGGGACCGCAAGGCCUGGCGCUUAAGGAUGAACCCACGUACUAUCAGCUUGUUGGUGGGGUAACGGCUCACCAAGGCUAUGACGGUUAGCUGGUCUGAGAGGAUGGUCAGCCACACUGGGACUGAGACACUGCCCAGACUCCUACGGGAGGCUGCAGUCGAGGAUCAUUCGCAAUGCGCGAAAGCGUGACGGUGCGACGCCGCGUGCAGGAUGAAGGCCUUCGGGUCGUAAACUGCUGUCAUGAGGGAACAAUGUCCGGAAUGUUAACACCAUUUCGGGGUGAUAGUACCUCAAGAGGAAGCCACGGCUAAACUCUGUGCCAGCAGCCGCGGUAAUACAGAGGCGGCGAGCGUUGUUCGGAUUUACUGGGC